rnacentral:rRNA from 1 species
UACAGGGGGGGCAAGCGUUGUUCGGAAUUACUGGGCGUAAAGGGUUCGUAGGUGGCUUGCUUAGUCAGACGUGAAAUCCCAAAGCUUAACUUUGGUGCUGCCUUUGAUACUGCAAGUCUAGAGUUUGAGAGAGGGUAAUGGAAUAUCUGGUGUAGCAGUGAAAUGCGUAGAUAUCAGAUAGAACACCAAUGGCGAAGGCAGUUACCUGGCUCAAAAUUGACACUAAAGCACGAAAGUGUGGGGAGCAAACAGG